CAGCCGCCGCGGUAAUACGGAGGGAGCUAGCGUUGUUCGGAAUUACUGGGCGUAAAGCGCGCGUAGGCGGUUACUCAAGUCAGAGGUGAAAGCCCGGGGCUCAACCCCGGAACUGCCUUUGAAACUAGGUGACUAGAAUCUUGGAGAGGUCAGUGGAAUUCCGAGUGUAGAGGUGAAAUUCGUAGAUAUUCGGAAGAACACCAGUGGCGAAGGCGACUGACUGGACAAGUAUUGACGCUGAGGUGCGAAAGCGUGGGGAGCAAACAGGAUUAGAGACCCGCGUAGUCCCUGUCUCUUAUAC
rnacentral:rRNA from 1 species